UUACACAAACUCAAAAUCACACCAUCAGACUCCCCUUCCUGCUUCCCCUUCUUCUUCGAUUUCAAAACCACAACCAGUCACCCCCUUUCUCUUCUCUCUGUUCAAUCGCCGGCGACCAGGAGCCGGUCACCGGUGCCGGCCGUCGCACACCCCCCUCUUCGUUAAUCACCCACCACACCACCCACCUCCGCGCAGAUCAGAGACAAAGACGAGAGAGAAAGAGAGACGAGACAGAGAGAGAGAGAGAGCGCCGGAGAUAGGAGCGGCACCGCCGCUCACGGCGGCGGCGGUGGAGCCGACGACGACAACAGCAGAACCGUCGUGGCGGUGACGACUCUCAGGCGACACGUUUUCAUAUCCGAUUGGCCCGAAAAUGACGGUGGUGUUAAGGUUGAGCUGAUGAAGAGCGUGGUGUUGGUGUUAUUUCGGGCUCGGCUUGGUUCGGUUCGGGUUGGUUCAAGUCGUGCUUCAGGUUAAAGUGAGCCAGGUUCAGAUGGUUGUACAGCAGAUUUGGGUCUCAGCUCAGAUCGGGUUCGGUUCGGUCAACAACGGGUCUUGGUUUCGGUGUCAGAUUAUGAAGCGGUUCAGUUGACUCGGUCAAACCGAGUUAACUCGGUCAACUCGGUCAGCCUACUCGACUAAGCGACGUGAGAAUUUCUGUAAUAGAUUAAAAGAAAUGAUUUUGUUACAUUAUAUUUCUAGUUUAAACUUACGUGACAAACGAGCUUUUGAACCAUCGUUUAUUUAGUGAUUAUACACGUUAAUUU
rnacentral:lncRNA from 1 species